rnacentral:rRNA from 1 species
AUUGAACGCUGGCGGCAUGCCUUACACAUGCAAGUCGAACGGUAACAGGUCUUCGGAUGCUGACGAGUGGCGAACGGGUGAGUAAUACAUCGGAACGUGCCCGAGAGUGGGGGAUAACGAAGCGAAAGCUUUGCUAAUACCGCAUACGAUCUCAGGAUGAAAGCAGGGGACCGCAAGGCCUUGCGCUCACGGAGCGGCCGAUGGCAGAUUAGGUAGUUGGUGGGGUAAAAGCUUACCAAGCCGACGAUCUGUAGCUGGUCUGAGAGGACGACCAGCCACACUGGGACUGAGACACGGCCCAGACUCCUACGGGAGGCAGCAGUGGGGAAUUUUGGACAAUGGGCGCAAGCCUGAUCCAGCCAUGCCGCGUGCAGGAUGAAGGCCUUCGGGUUGUAAACUGCUUUUGUACGGAACGAAAAGACUCUGGUUAAUACCUGGGGUCCAUGACGGUACCGUAAGAAUAAGCACCGGCUAACUACGUGCCAGCCGCCGCGGUAAGAC